rnacentral:lncRNA from 1 species
UUACAGCCAUUUAUCAUAUAACGAGUCAUGAGCUGACUGCUAUUUAGCUUUUACCAACACUUGAGUUGAAAAGCUUGUUAUCUGAGAAUAACAAUCAAAGAGGGGAUGUACUAGCUUCUAUUUCUCUUGCUCUCCAUGCUCUAUCCCUGAGGAAAAUUAUAUUCCCCAGGAAGCAAUAUAACUAGACUAUAUAAUCUUACGGAGAAGGCAGUGGCACCCCACUCCAGUACCUCUUGCUUGGAAAAUCCCAUGGACGGAGGAGCCUGUUAGGCUGCAAUCCAUGAGGUUGCUAAGAGUCGGAUAUGACUGACCGACUUCACUUUCACUUUUCACUUUCAUGCACUGGAGAAGGAAAUGGCAGCCCACUCCAGUGUUCUUGCCUGGAGAAUCCCAGGGACGGGGGAGCCUGGUGGGCUGCCGUCUAUGGGGUCGCACAGAGUCGGAAACGACUGAAGUAAUUUAGCAUAUAAUCUUAGCUUCCCAUGGAAAUAGCUUUCUGAGAUACAAUAAUUUUACUCUUUCAACUUUUAUAGAAGUUUGCUAUACAAAGAACUUUUUUUUCCUUUUUUUAUUUUUUUAAUUUAAAUUUAUUUAUUUUAAUUAGAGGCUAAUUACUUUACAAUAUUGUAUUGGUUUUGCCAUACAUCAACAUGAAUCCGCCACGGGUGUACACGUGUUCCCAAUCCUGAACCCCCCUCCCACCUCCCUCCCCGUACCAUCCCUCUGGGUCAUCCCAGUGCACCAGCCCCAAGCGUCCUGUAUCCUGCAUCGAACCUGGACUGGUGAUUCAUUUCUUAUAUUAUACAUGUUUCAAUGCCAUUCUCCCAAAUCAUCCCCCCAGCCUCUUAAUAAGACCCUAAUGUUAAAAUAUAGUCUAGAUUGUACCUAAUGUCCUUUAUGAAAAAUUUUUUAUAUUUAGUGAAAGGAAAUUUCUGUCUUUAAUACACUUUUUUUGGUAUAUGAAAGUUUAUUACUACCAUGUUUGAAUCAUCAAAACUUUUCGUCUUAGUCUUUUCUUCUAGCUUUUGCAUAAGGCCAAGAAAGACACUGGCUACUUUGACAACUUUAAAGUGGACUCUAGGAACGUCACCAAGAGCAUGCUAUUUUGCAAUCAAAUCCAGCAGUGGAAACGUCACUGUUUUUUGCAGUAAAGUUCAAGCAAUCAUCAUUGGGGUAUCCCCAAGACCGGAUGCUCAGAUCUUCUUCUUCAGUCUGCCUCUGGUUCCUCAACUACAAAACAAAAAGGAAAACAAUGAUGCUUAUUCCACUUAAGGACUUAUAUUUAGUUCCUUAUUUAAUCUGCGCAAGCAUCCUGUGAGAUGGGUCCAGAGAAGCCAGAACUUGAACCUGAAUUUCCUGUCUCAGAAGUCCAUGCUCUAAAACCACUAAGCUACAGUUUCUUCCACGUGUAUCACUUAUCCAUUCGUAUUUUGUUUAAUUCAACAGACUGCACAAGACCUCCUGUUCUGGUAUAGGAGAUACGGUGGUGAACUGAAUGAAGUCUUUGACCUCAGGGACUUUCUAAGCGAGGAGACAGAUGUUAAGUUAUAAUAUCAGGUAAAUUCUAUAAAGAAAGAUAAGGCAGGGAAGAGGGAUAAAGCAUGACAGGAAAGCUGUUUUAGAUAAGGUGAUCAGAGAAAGCCUUUGGAGUGGAUGAAAUGAUGAAGGGAGGUCAUGGGGGUAUAAGGAAGACAAGCUCUCCAGACAGAGAAGCAGCGGUACCAAGACUCAUGCCUUG